rnacentral:rRNA from 1 species
GACGGAGGGUGCAAGCGUUGUCCGGAAUUAUUGGGCGUAAAGCGCGCGCAGGCGGUCUUUUAAGUCUGAUGUGAAAGCCCACGGCUCAACCGUGGAGGGUCAUUGGAAACUGGAGGACUUGAGUGCAGAAGAGGAGAGCGGAAUUCCACGUGUAGCGGUGAAAUGCGUAGAGAUGUGGAGGAACACCAGUGGCGAAGGCGGCUCUCUGGUCUGUAACUGACGCUGAGGCGCGAAAGCGUGGGGAGCGAACAGG